rnacentral:rRNA from 1 species
GACGAACGCUGGCGGCGUGCUUAACACAUGCAAGUCGAACGGAAAGGCCCUGCUUUUGUGGGGUGCUCGAGUGGCGAACGGGUGAGUAACACGUGAGUAACCUGCCCUUGACUUUGGGAUAACUUCAGGAAACUGGGGCUAAUACCGGAUAGGAUCUCCUGCUGCAUGGUGGGGGUUGGAAAGUUUCGGCGGUUGGGAUGGACUCGCGGCUUAUCAGCUUGUUGGUGGGGUAGUGGCUUACCAAGGCUUUGACGGGUAGCCGGCCUGAGAGGGUGACCGGCCACAUUGGGACUGAGAUACGGCCCAGAAUCCUACGGGAGGCAGCAGUGGGGAAUAUUGCACAAUGGGCGGAAGCCUGAUGCAGCAACGCCGCGUGCGGGAUGACGGCCUUCGGGUUGUAAACCGCUUUCGCCUGUGACGAGGCGUGAGUGACGGUAAUGGGUAAAGAAGCACCGGCUAACUACGUG